GACGAACGCUGGCGGCGUGCUUAACACAUGCAAGUCGAACGGAAAGGCCCUGCUUUUGUGGGGUGCCCGAGUGGCGAACGGGUGAGUAACACGUGAGUAACCUGCCCUUGACUUUGGGAUAACUUCAGGAAACUGGGGCUAAUACCGGAUAGGAGCUCCUGCUGCAUGGUGGGGGUUGGAAAGUUUCGGCGGUUGGGGAUGGACUCGCGGCUUAUCAGCUUGUUGGUGGGGUAGUGGCUUACCAAGGCUUUGACGGGUAGCCGGCCUGAGAGGGUGACCGGCCACAUUGGGACUGAGAUACGGCCCAGACUCCUACGGGAGGCAGCAGUGGGGAAUAUUGCACAAUGGGCGGAAGCCUGAUGCAGCAACGCCGCGUGCGGGAUGACGGCCUUCGGGUUGUAACCCGCUUUCGCCUGUGACGAAGCGUGAGUGACGGUAAUGGGUAAAGAAGCACCGGCUAACUACGUG
rnacentral:rRNA from 1 species